GGUUCUAUGGUUUAGUGGUUAGCACUCCAGACUUUGAAUCUGGCGACCUGGGUUCGAAUCCCGGUAGGACCU
rnacentral:tRNA from 1 species